UCUAUUUUUUUAUUUUUUUAUUUUUUCUAAUUAUUUUAAAAUAUAUAUAUAUAUAUAUUUAUCGUUAAAAGAUGAUUCAAAUGAUUCUCAGGAUAUAGGAAAUAUCCUAUCCGUGUCUAACAAUCGUCGCGAUCUAACUGAUAAAGAUUCCGUUUGAAAAUUUUAGAGAAGCCGAAUAUGUACGAACUAGUCUCCUGUUCUUACUCUAUGUAUUUGGAAUAUCGAAAAUUGCAGCCAUUUAUGAUCCCUUGUUAGUUGACUAAUCACCGAACAAAAAGACUUAAGACCCGUUUUGUUUGUAUACUCAAUCUUUAACGAAACGAACAAUAUGUCUACGAAUGCAACGGCUUUGAUUUAUUAUGUUGAAGGAGCAUAAUAACUCGUGUAAGAGUGUAUGUAUUCAACGAUAAGUUUCAUUCUCGGAGAAACAAACGCGUCGAAAAAAAGAAAGAUCAGAUAACUUUGUAACCUAUUGUACAUCGCUUUUCUGUUCUUUUUCCUAUCCUAUUUUUCUUUUUUAAUUUUUUGUUUCUUUCCCUUUUCUCCCCCAUUUUUCAUUUUAAACAGAUAGAUCAUGGAACCGGUAUAAUGCGGAUCUAACCAGAAAUGUUCUUAACUCUCAAUUUUUAAAACGUUAAAAAUCAAGUAAACGGUUAAUGUCAAUUUUCCCCCCCUUAAUGCUAGGCAACCCAUCGUACAAGCGUGUGAAUGCAUGCAACCAGCUCUUACCAUUAGCACAAUGCGACAUUGCAAUGAUCUAUGAUAACAAUUGUACUUGUGAUUUAAUCUAACAAUAAGAAAAAAAAUAUCUUCGUUAAUGAAUUUUGUUGUAAUACGUGAUAAGGAAAAACAUUAUAAGAGAUAAGGCUAAUGAUUUGACAAUAACGAUAAAUAAAGAAUCAUUAUCAAAAGUUUUAACAAUCAAAUAGAAUCAUUUGACUUUUCGAACUGAGCAUGAUUCUAACAGGUGAUAUGCUAAUCGUAAAUCGAUAUGCGGUACAUAAUUAAAAACAUAAGCGGAUGAAACUUGAAAAAACGAUCACUUUGAACAGAUAAAAAAAAAGCAUUUUACGAAUUUGUUGUUAAAUAUAAAAUAAAUUUAUAAUUAAUAAAAAUAUUUAUGCGAUAGAUGAGGUGAUUGGUGCUUUCGAAUCCGUAAACUUCAUUCUCGUUUGCGACGAAUGUUUCCCUUUUUCUUUUAACUACCUACCGUCGUUAGAGAAAAAUAAAAUAAAAAUAGUAAUAGACAUAUAAAAUAAGUGGAAAUAGGUCCGAAGAAGAUAUAUCGAUAAAGCUAAUGGAUAACGGUCACACAAUAAUGUUUAUUGCAUUUUUCUUUUGUGUUACAUGUAUGUAUGUAUUGACUUAUUAUUUUUUUUUUUCUUUAAAGGAAAAUAAAAAGGAAAAAUAAUGAAACAUAAUGAUUUUGCGAACGACGACAAGUCUGCCGCAGACAGUCUCCUGUAAGAUUAGUCAAACUUUGAAAUUUCAUUAUUGACACAUUUACGAUUAAAGAACGUUUGCUGUAAUUCACCUGUAAAAAUUUUAUCUUAUUUUGUUUUUUUAAAUUAAGAUCAUAAUAUUUUUUACAUUUUCUAUAAAUCGUAGUUACAUGUAAGCCGAAUUAAAUUAACUACCAAAAAAGAAGUUUCUUUUUUCAACAACAAUAAUCGAAUUUAUAUAAUAAAAAAUACAAACAAAAAAAGAGAUAAACGAUUGUUAAUAACAACAAUAGAAAAAACGACAAAGAACAGGAUCAAAAGACAACAAAGUACGGAACUGAUUCGAUGAAUUUCUUUUUCUUUUCGAACAAAUUUCAUACAAUAUUAUCUUCGUUUUCCCAUACACCUGCUAAACCACCUGCUAAUCAAAGAAAGAUUAUUACGAUCUUGGAAAAAUUGUAUGUACAAACGAAACGAAUUUUGUUAAGUCAACGUAACUAGAAAAUAAGAUAAAUAAAAAUAUAUUGCAAGAAAAAGUAGAAGGAAGAAGAGAAGAAGAAGAACAAAAAGAACAAGAAGAAAAAGAUAUGAAAACGUAGAAAAUCAGAAUAAAACGGAAGAACAAAAUUUGUACGUGGUCAAAUUUUCGCGGGGUUUUAAUACGCUCUUGUUAGUUUCGAAAAUGCCGCUAGAGGUCAUUGGUAAGGAAAAAAAAUGAAAAAAGAGGGAAAGAGAUAAAGGUUCGAAGGUCUCGUCGGCGCGAGAACAAAUAGAGCGGGCUUUUCGUUCAAGUCCGCGCAUGCGCAUAAUUUAUAUCUAUCGACAAUAAUCGAUAUUUCUCAUGCGCAUACGUAGUAAAACACACAUCGUGUAUUUACGUAUUUAUAUAAUAUAUAUGCUCUGUGAAAUGAGCAUGACGAGUUAUUGAAGAAUAACGGGAAUGAAAAAGAAAUAUGAAAGAAGUGGGUAGGGAGGAGUGGAGGAGACGAAGGGAAAGAGGGAAAAAAAGGUGGAGACUAGAUAAAAUACACGUCGAAGAGAACGCAUAAUAUUAUCAAACAUGCUGUAUUGCAAAUUUUAAAAAGUGAUAAAGAGAGAAGAACGAAAAAAGAAAAUAAAUUCCUCGUGAAAGAAUCGUGUAUGUAGCAUGUUGCUUUCAUGUAUUCGUAAAAAUAGAAUUUACGAUAAGUUAGCCGUACGAAAGAAAACGUAAAGAGAGAGAGAGAGAGAGAGAGAGAGGAAGCGAGAGAGAAAGAGGAAGAGGAAGAGAGAACAUACCGAGUCAUUGUGUUUCUCUAUCUGGUAUACGUUCGAGUUUUUAAUCAUUUUUCUUAUCAACGAUAGCACGAAAAGUCGGGGAUAAAGAUAAUUCGUAUAUUCUUGCCAUAAUUUUGUUGAAACCCGUUGAGACUGCUGUUAUCAUAAUUAUGAAAAGGUAAUAUUUGACUUGUAAUAAUGUUUGUUUAUUUAAAAAAAAACCGAAAUCAAUGAAGGUAAGAUAAGAAUAAAAACAACCGUUAAGAUUCGCUCGUUGUUAAAAGUACAAAAUAAAAGAUGGUAAUUAGAAAUAGAAACGAAAGGAAGGGAAAUUUAAAAUAGAAAAUAGAAGUUAAGAAUAGAAAUGAAAGAAGUGGAAAAGAUCAUGCGUGUGGGUGUGUUUAUAUAUGUAGGAUAUGUUAAAAUAAAAGGAUGCACAUGUUGUACGGACUCGAGGAUGCUGUAUGAACAUGAAACUACCACCAUUGUAUCGUUGUCGUCGUCGUUCAUCGUCGUCGAUGUCGUCGUUGUGUCAGUGGCCGAGUAUCAUGGAACUUUCCAGAGGCUUAGAGAGGAGAAGGAGAGAGAGGGAGAGAGAGAGAGAGAAAA
rnacentral:lncRNA from 1 species